GAUGAACGCUGGCGGCGUGCUUAACACAUGCAAGUCGAGCGAACGGACGAGUAUCUUGCUUUUCUGAUGUUAGCGGCGGACGGGAGAGUAACAUGUGGAUAACCUACCUAUAAGACUGGGUUAACUUCGGGAAACCGGUGCUAAUACCGGAUCAUAUUUUGAACCGCAUGGUUCAAAAGUUACAGACGGUCUUGCUGUCACUGAUACAUGGCACCGCGCUGCUUUAGUUAGUUGGUAAGGUAACGGCUUACCAGGGCAACGGUGGCUAGCCGACCCGAGAACGUGUAGCGCGCCACUGGAGGUGAGCGGCGACCCAGAGUCUGAGGGACGGCAGAGGUAGCGAAUCGUGGGCGAUGGGGGGAAGACUGACGGAGCAACGCCGCGUGGAUGCUGAAGGUCCUCGGGUGGGAAAACUCUGUUAGUAGGGUAGACCGCAUGUGUAAGGAGCUGUGCUCAUCUUGACGGUACCUGAUGAAGAAGCCACGGCUAACUACGUG
rnacentral:rRNA from 1 species